UACGGGGGGGGCAAGCGUUGUUCGGAAUUACUGGCGUAAAGGGCUCGUAGGCGGUUUGUCGCGUCGAAUGUGAAACCCGGGGCUCAACCCCGGGCCUGCAUUCGAUACGGGCAGACUAGAGUUCGGUAGGGGAGUCUGGAAUUCCUGGUGUAGCGGUGAAAUGCGCAGAUAUCAGGAGGAACACCGGUGGCGAAGGCGGGACUCUGGGCCGAUACUGACGCUGAGGAGCGAAAGCGUGGGGAGCAAACAGG
rnacentral:rRNA from 1 species